UCGUACGUCUUUUUUCUUGGAAAUUAUUCCGGUAAGUGUAAAUUUAUCUGUCGAGUGGUGUUCUUCGUAAAUUCGUUCUUACGUUAAGAUCUUGUGUGGUGUGAGCCGUGUGAGUCAUGUGUCAACGACCGUUGAAAUUACGUUAUGAAUGGUUCUAUUUCCGGUUUUUUUACUACUGACUGACGAUGGUAAUACAUUAUUGUGCGUGUGACCUAGAAUAGUCUAGUUCUGGCGUCAAGCAGUCUGGACAAGAUGUCGAGUUUUCAUUUCCGGCAACCAUCAGUUGAAAUAUUUAAUUUUCGUAAUUUUUCAAUCAUUUGUUUUCUGUUCGCGUAUUUUGAUGAGGGGAUUUUAUUUUUUCAGUUUAACGAGUAAAUUAGUGCGAAUGUUUUGAUGACUUACUCGCCUUAGGCUAUAGUUAUUUUUUCGAUAGCUAGAUGUAGAUUGCAUUGAUAUUCGUAACUUGUAAGCAUAGGUAUUUUCAUUCGAGACUCGUGCUAAUUAUUGUUCUGUUUGUGUUUAGAAUCGAUCGGCGCAUUUGAUUGAUCUUUUAACGGAUUUUGGCUACCAACGUUGGUAUGAAAGUGUUUCCUUAACCGAUGCAGAAGAAUCAAGUUAGAAAAUGAAGAUCAACUCAUCGUGUGUGUACGAGUACGACUGAAAGAAGAUACAUAUUUUACGGAGACUCGACGCUUUUGAAUUUGAUCGAUCUUCAACGGAUUUCGGCGCACCUGUUAUGAACGAAGAUCAUUGAACGUCUGUGUAGUCAAAGCUUGCGAAUUUUAGCUAUUUAUCUAGCUGAGGUUACGAUUGUACGUGCUCAUUACUCUUAAUCGUCGAGCUGUUAUAUUUUCAGCAUCAUGGUUCCAGUCCACAAUCACGAUUGAACUUCGCACAGGUAGCUCAA